GUAGCUCAGUCAUUAAAAAAAGUCUUAUUGGUUCAAAAGAUUUCAACACUGGAUCAAGAUCAGAAAAUAGAAAUACUUAGACAUGUACAGAAGCCACCUUCUUAACAGCUACGUUUGACCUCAGUUGAAAAGCUCCAGGUAAACAAGUCAUCCCAAGCGUCCCCCCUUCAGUUCCAAACAGCUUGUGUCCCAUCAGUACGCGUGUUUUGCCAGGACUGAUGACAGGAAAACAGUCUCAGCUUGUGUUCAUAAUAAGCUCCCAUACUGGAGAAGAGCAUGUUGGAAGGUUGGAAGAGAAGCGCACUGCCUGUCAUUAGGCCCAGCGGGUUGAGCGGUUGUGAAAGCUGCUCGAGAGAGAGAGAGAGAGAGCGCCUUGUCUAAAUGAUUAAUGUUGCGAGGUUGGGAGGCGGAGGCGGAGGAAGGCAUAUAUGUAAGGUUAUGUUUUAAGAAUACAAAGUACAGUAUUGCCUAAUUCA